ACCGCUUUCGCCGCUGUAUCGUAAAAAAACCUUUAAAGAGCAUGCGCUGAGUGAAAGUGAUCUGGCUCUUUAAUUUAUCUGACGCCGUUUACCGGACGGACUGAGAUCUGUAGCUUUUAUUUAAGCGGGUUAAAGCGACCACGAGAAACGGACGCCCAGGGUGAAAAAAUCCAUUACACCCUCUGUUUUGUCGCAGGUUUGGUGACGUCCAAUAAUCGACUUGCUGUGAAGUCUCCGGGGCCGAGGCCUAGAGACAUUUUUUUUGUAACGGGCGCUAUAAAAAAAAUUGGUGUCGAUGCUUAACUACAUUUAAGGUGCCCGUUUUGACCGGAUGUGAACCAAUGAAGCACUUUAUACUGUAACUGAAGCUUUAACGGUGGGAAACGUUAGCCAGCUAAUUAAAGCUACUGCUAACUGCCAGCGAGGAAGUGAGGAACGAAAAAAAAUGACAUCUCGGAGGUGGUUUCACCCCAACAUCACAGGUGUGGAGGCUGAAAACCUCCUGCUGACUCGUGGAGUGGACGGGAGCUUUUUAGCCAGACCCAGUAAAAGCAAUCCAGGAGACUUCACGCUCUCAGUACGGCGAAAUGGAGCAGUCACCCAUAUUAAGAUCCAGAACACAGGAGAUUACUAUGACCUUUAUGGCGGGGAGAAGUUUGCCACACUUGCAGAGCUGGUGCAGUAUUACAUGGAACAUCAUGGACAACUGAAAGAGAAAAACGGUGAUGUUAUUGAGCUGAAGUAUCCACUCAACUGUGCAGAUCCCACCUCAGAGAGAUGGUUCCACGGACACCUGUCGGGCAGGGAGGCUGAGAAGUUGCUCACUGAGAAAGGCAAGAAUGGCAGUUUCCUGGUGAGGGAGAGCCAGAGCCAUCCGGGAGAUUUUGUUCUAUCGGUCCGUACUGGAGAUGACAAAACAGACAGCAGUGACAGUAAACCUAAAGUCACUCAUGUCAUGAUCCGCUGCCAGCAUGACCUGAAGUAUGAUGUGGGUGGAGGGGAGAAGUUUGACUCCCUCACAGACUUGGUAGAGCACUACAAGAAGAACCCUAUGGUUGAAACUCUGGGCACUGUGCUUCAGCUUAAACAGCCUCUGAACACUACCCGUAUUAACGCAGCAGAGAUUGAGAGUCGAGUUAGGGAGCUUAGCAAACUAGCGGAGGCAACAGACAAGGUCAAACAGGGAUUCUGGGAAGAAUUUGAGACCUUACAGCAACAAGAGUGCAAGUUGCUCUACAGUCGCAAAGAGGGCCAGAGACCAGAGAACAAAAACAAGAACCGAUACAAGAACAUUCUGCCUUUCGACCACACACGCGUGGUGCUGAAAGACGGGGACCCAGAUGAGCCAGGCUCUGACUAUAUCAACGCCAAUAUCAUCAUGGUAGUAUCCACUGUCAUGCCGGAUUUGGACUCAAAGUGUAAUCAAGGCACCAAGGUGAAGAAGAGCUACAUUGCCACUCAGGGCUGUCUACAUAACACCAUCAGUGACUUCUGGAGGAUGGUUUUUCAGGAGGACUCACGAGUCAUCGUCAUGACCACCAAAGAGGUAGAAAGAGGGAAGAGUAAGUGUGUGAAAUACUGGCCAGACGUGUCAGCGCUGAAGGAGUAUGGGGCUAUGCGUGUUCGCAAUGUCAGAGAGACGUCUGCACAUGACUACAUCUUAAGAGAACUGAAACUUUCCAAAGUUGGACAGGGCAACACAGAACGUACAGUUUGGCAGUACCACUUUAGGGCCUGGCCAGAUCAUGGAGUCCCCACUGACCCAGGUGGUGUACUUGACUUCUUAGAAGAGGUCAACCUUAAACAGGAGAGCAUAUUGGAUGCUGGGCCAAUAACGGUACAUUGCAGUGCAGGGAUUGGGCGGACAGGAACCUUUAUAGUGAUUGACAUCCUAAUAGAUGUGAUCAGAGAAAAAGGAGUGGACUGUGACAUUGAUGUGCCGAAGACCAUACAGAUGGUUCGUUCUCAGCGUUCUGGGAUGGUGCAGACUGAGGCACAAUACAGAUUCAUCUACAUGGCUGUACAGCACUACAUAGAAACAUUGCAGAGGCGCAUAGAAGAAGAGCAGAAAAGUAAGAUUAAGGGACGUGAGUACACAAACAUUAAGUACUCUUUGUCUGACCUGACUGGAGGAGAGCAGAGCCCUCUGCCUCCUUGCACUCCUAUUCCUACUCCCACCUGCACAGAGAUGAGGGAGGACAGCUCCAGGGUGUAUGAAAAUGUGGGGCUGAUGCAGCAACAGAAGAGCUUCAGAUGAGAUUCACCUUUUGAUACCAGUGCUCUAUCAGCUCCAGUGUGCCAGUUUAUAGGCGUCAUCAGGCCAGAAGGUCUUUCCCACGCUGAAGCCAGCCACACCUGUCUUCCAUCUAGAUUCCAGGUGCUGCUGAUCACUUUCGCAAAGUGGUUACUAAACUGUUUGACUGAGCUUGAGUCAACGCUGGAUCGUUCAGUUACUGAGAACUUGGAGAGGAGUGUGUCAUGGGAUUGGAGCAUUUGUAAAUAUCAAGUGUUGGAGUUGUUUGCCUGUCACACCACGGAGCACGGAGCGGGAGUUGGGAGCACGUUCACGGAAACCACUUCUUUGAAAGCUGUUUCACGAUUGUUUACAUGUCUCACUGUAAAUCAAACGCACUGUCUUUGAUUGGAAAGUCCUGCAUUUGGGUCCUGUUCUCACCACGCACCUUGACAUAAAUAAUAAACACUUUGAUUUAGAAACUGCA